AAUCAACGCCGGCGGCGUGCCUAACACAUGCAAGUCGAACGCGAAAAUGGAGCAAUCCAUGAGUAGAGUGGCAAACGGGUGAGUAACACGUGGGUGACCUGCCUUCGAGUGGGGGAUAACGUCCCGAAAGGGACGCUAAUACCGCAUAAUAUGCUGUCUUUUAAGAGAGAGACAUCAAAGCCGGGGACCGCAAGGCCUGGCGCUUGAAGAGGGGCCCGCGCCUGAUUAGCUAGUUGGUGGGGUAAUGGCUCACCAAGGCAACGAUCAGUAUCCGGCCUGAGAGGGCGGACGGACACACUGGGACUGAGACACGGCCCAGACUCCUACGGGAGGCAGCAGUGGGGAAUUUUGGACAAUGGGCGCAAGCCUGAUCCAGCCAUGCCGCGUGAGUGAAGAAGGCC
rnacentral:rRNA from 1 species